UGCGGGAUCAUCUAACGGCAGGAUACAUGACUCUGAAUCAUGUUAUUUAGGUUCGAAUCCUAGUCCCGCAGCCA
rnacentral:tRNA from 1 species